GUAGUAGCAAAUACUCUAGCGAGACCCUGGAGGGCUGAUGUGGAGAAGGGUUUCGUGUGAACAGCCGUUGCACACGAGUCAGUCGAUCCUAAGCCCUAGGGGAAACCCGAUGCAGAUGCCGGCCUUCGCUCGAACUCGAACCUCGGCCGCGCGUCGGGCGAAAGGGAAUCCGGUCCCCAUUCCGGAACCCGGUCGCGGAACCGUUUCACGUCGGGCCCGCGCCGAAAGGCGCAAGCUCGUCGGGGUAACCCAACAUGACCCGGAGAAGCCGUCGGGAGGUCUGGGAAGAGUUUUCUUUUCUGUUUGAGCGUUCGGGUUCCCUGGAAUUGCCUAGCGCAGAGAGAGGGAAUGGAGCGCGUAGAGCACCGCAGUUGCGGCGGUGUCCAGACAUGCCCUUCGGACCUUGAAAAUCCGGGGACGGGCCACGUGGAGGUGUCGCGCCGGUUCGUACCCAUAUCCGCAGCAGGUCUCCAAGGUGAAGAGCCUCUAGUCGAUAGACGAAUGUAGGUAAGGGAAGUCGGCAACUUGGAUCCGUAACUUCGGGAUAAGGAUUGGCUCUGAGGAUCGGGGCGCGUCGGGCUUGGUCGAGAUGCGGACGAGUGUUAACGAGCAGGGCCUGGGCGAAACACGUCGGCAACGGCGUAUUGACCUCGGUCCCUCGCCUUGGCCUCCCGCGGAUCUUCCUUGCUGCGGGCGCGGCGCGCACGGCUCGCGUGUCGGUCGUCUCCGGGCGGCCGGCGCGCGCGGUCGGUUCGCGCGUCGCAUCACCCUUCGGCCGCCGAAUAACGAUCAGCUCAGAACUGGCACGGACCCGGGGAAUCCGACUGUCUAAUUAAAACAAAGCAUCGCGACGGCCCGAAAGGGUGUUGACGCGAUGUGAUUUCUGCCCAGUGCUCUGAAUGUCAAAGUGAAGAAAUUCAAGCAAGCGCGGGUAAACGGCGGGAGUAACUAUGACUCUCUUAAGGUAGCCAAAUGCCUCGUCAUCCAAUUAGUGACGCGCAUGAAUGGAUUAACGAGAUUCCUUCUGUCCCUAUCUACUCCCCGCAGGGGGGAUCGCGAUGACGAGAGUUAUCGCGGUCUAGGUGGAGUUCAGACAACCACCCGGCUCCGAGUUUGCGGCGUGACUUACGUCGUCAGCCUGAAAGUGCAGGCGGUAAGUAGGCGCAAAAGCUAAGCUCCUGGUGGUCGGGCAACCGGCCACCCACCAGUUGGGCCUAUGGCGCGUCGACCUUGGAGCAGGAUCGGGCGAGGAAUUCUCCGCGGAGGUUCUGACCCCACUUUAAAGUCCGGCGGGAACAAGUCACCACCCGCCAGGCUGCUUCGGUACCGGUGUUACCCACAUCGUGAGCCGCGAAGCAUUGGGGAGACGGGAUGGGGGCUCCGAGCCGCCCGGGCCUUAGUCCGGGUGGCCCCCAGUUGGGCUCUCGGAUUCGUCGUGGCAGUGGCCCGAUACUCUGGGCAAAGAGGAGGGAAUUUAUUCCCGGCGCAUGUGAGUGGCGCAUCGUCAAGACUCCGGAACUAGCCUGGAUAGCUAGUAGCUCUGAGCUGGCAGGGCGGCCCGACCCAGGCUUCGUAUGGGAAGGUUGCCGAGAAGGCAAACUGGGUUCCGGCUGGAUCCGGACAUCGGCCCGUCGACGUCACGCGUAGGCGGGGAGUGCGGAUUAGGGCCGAAAAGGCUAGGUGCCCACUCUGGGGAUUCGUCCCCCCGAUGAAGAGCGUGCAAU
rnacentral:rRNA from 1 species